ACAAAAUUGUGGCUAUAUUCUGAAUGUGUCAUAUCACUACAACAAUUUUGACCAGAUAUAACAUUAAAAUAUGACAUAUUAUUAAAAACGUUAUUGAUACAUGCAUAAAAAAGAUACAGUAGGCGCCAAAUGAAAAAAGUGGGCGCGAAAUGAAAUUGACAAAAAUAAAAAAAGCUAAAACAAUAAAAAAUGGAGAAUGUUUUCUGAAUCCCUAAUCCCUUUACACACUGCCUCUCUCUCACACACACUCCAGUCAGUUCUCUCCCACUCUCACUCGCUCUUUCUUUCUCUCAGAGUCUAUCGGCUCUCUCUCCUUCAGUCCACUAUUCUUCAAUCCCUUCCAUUGAGCAGCUGAAGCACACCAUGACCGCACCAUUGUUGAAGCGAUGAGUCUCUUGUCCUUUUCCAUUGCUGUGUAUCUCUAUCGCUAGCUAGAAGCAAGAACCCAGGUGACUGUGAGUCUUCUCUUGCAGAUGGCUAGCGCAGGAGGCUUGACGGAGACGGUGACAGGGAUCGACCUUACGUGGGCCGACGAUAUCCUUCUUUCUCUGCUUUUGUUGUUGCAAAUCUGACAGUUAUGCUAAUCUACGAAGGUUAUGCUCUUAUUUUGAAUGGAUUUACUAGCUUUCACCAUUUAUCUUUCUUUUUUUGCCUUAAAUUGCAGCUACAAAUCUUUUUUCUGAUGAUAAUUUUGGACCUUAUUUUCUCUUAUGUACUCCAUUUUUAAGUUUUGUUCUUUUUUUUAUUGUGAGAUACCCAAACUCUUGAUUUCGAGAUUUAAUAUGUGAGUUAUAUUAGUGAUUUGGGGAUACUGUAACCCUUAAUUGAUAGCUUAGUAUAUGGACACACACAAAUGUACAUAUAUAAAGAUCCUACUUCCAUUUCCAAAAGGUGAAGAUAUUAUACAAAUGCAUCAAACCGAAUAAUCAAAACUCCAAGUUUAGUUUCUUACUUUUCUAUUUUUUCCUUUCCACUAACAAGAACUCAUUGAAAUUUAUGUAUUAUCUAAAGGCAUUUUUUUAAAAUUUGCUUUUGGUCAGUUUUUGUAGAAUUACGAAAUACUAAUUGUGUUGUUGAAGCUUGGGUUAUGAAAGUCCAAUGUUGAAAUUGCAUUUGAUGCUAAAUGGUUUGAGACAGUUGGCAGGGGCUUCAAACUGUGGGUAAUAUCUCUUUCUUUUUCUAUUAUUUAAUCUCAGUGCACAUAAUUACACUUGUUUUGUUAAUUUAAUUUCUUAUCUUUUUUGGGUUUAGCUUCUAUUAAUAUAUAUACACAUUUCCGUGCCUAUUGAUUCAGUUGAGGAAAAAAACGUUUAUCCAUGUGUAAAAUCACACCAAUGAGGAUUGUCUAAUGUCUGAUCAAUUUGAAGAAAUAAGAGUUUCUAUUUAAUGACACAUUUGAUUUAUAUAUUGUUAUUAGCUUGUUGUUCUCUCGUCUGUUUGGGAGUAUUUCAGGGCAUGAAUUGCGUGUAUAGACAAUGUCAUUGAUAGACUUAACUGGUUGUGAGUAUAGGCACCUAAGGGAUGGCUUGUACUAGUUGGCUAAAACCUAAUUUAAUCACAAUUGGGCUAUGCUAGCUGUUCAAUGAUUAUUGAAAGAUCCAAAAUGUUCAUGUGGGUCUUGAGUGGCUUCAUUGGAUUUCAAAUUGGAGGGAACUUUAUUUGCAGCAGUUUGCAAUAGAUCUCUCUUUCGCAACUAGCAAAAGUCUAAGAUUGGGGAGAAUUGCGGAACGAGGGGAAUUUUGAUUGAAGAAAGUAAAAAUGGCGGGUGGUGCAGCUGGUGGUUUUGUUACACGUGCAUUUGAGUCGAUGCUGAAAGAAUGUUCGGGGAAAAAACAUCCAGAACUUCAGAAGGCUAUUCAGAAUUAUAUAGAUGGUACGAAAGAGGUCAAUCAGGUUCAGCCUUCCGCUUCCAGUGAGACAAAAAAAGCUGCAUCGGUUGCUGGUGAUGAGAGGUAUGGAAAAUACUUGAAAUCGUACUGCGAGAAGGUUCGGUACAGGGUCUUCCCCGGAAUUUACUGAGAAAAUGUUGCACAAGUGUUUGUUCUAUGUUGAGAAUGGCAUGUAUAUUCAGCCUUUCCAAAUUAAAUGAUGGCAGGCUGGUAUCAUGUUGUUGUUAUUGUUGUUUUUGUAAUGGUCAACUUUAUGGAUGUUGUAUUUCUCUCAUCUUCAAUGACCAAAAACUUUUCUUGUUUAGGAAAAUUACUAUAAAGUUUUGUUUCUAUUUUUCAUUUUUGAAGUAAAAAUUGUUCAAGAUUAUAAAAUUUUAUUAUGUUAUACUUUCAAACUUAAGUUAGAACUAA